rnacentral:rRNA from 1 species
CUCUUUCGGAUUAGUGGCGCACGGGUGCGUAACGCGCGGGAAUCUGCCCUUGGGUACGGAAUAACUCAGAGAAAUUUGUGCUAAUACCGUAUAAUGUCUUCGGACCAAAGAUUUAUCGCCCAAGGAUGAGCCCGCGUAAGAUUAGCUUGUUGGUGAGGUAAAAGCUCACCAAGGCGACGAUCUUUAGCUGGUCUGAGAGGAUGAUCAGCCACACUGGGACUGAGACACGGCCCAGACUCCUACGGGAGGCAGCAGUGGGGAAUAUUGGACAAUGGGCGAAAGCCUGAUCCAGCAAUGCCGCGUGAGUGAUGAAGGCCUUAGGGUUGUAAAGCUCUUUUACCCGGGAUGAUAAUGACAGUACCGGGAGAAUAAGCUCCGGCUAACUCCGUGCCAGCAGCCGCGGUAAUACGGAGGGAGCUAGCGUUGUUCGGAAUUACUGGGCGUAAAGCGCGCGUAGGCGGUUUUUUAAGCCAGAGGUGAAAGCCCAGUGCUCAACACUGGAACUGCCUUUGAAACUGGAAAACUUGAAUCUUGGAGAGGUCAGUGGAAUUCCGAGUGUAGAGGUGAAAUUCGUAGAUAUU